rnacentral:rRNA from 1 species
CCUACGGGUGGCAGCAGUGGGGAAUAUUGGACAAUGGGCGAAAGCCUGAUCCAGCCAUGCCGCGUGUGUGAAGAAGGCCUUCGGGUUGUAAAGCACUUUCAGUGGGGAAGAAAGCCUUGGGGCUAAUACCCUCGAGGAAGGACAUCACCCACAGAAGAAGCACCGGCUAACUCCGUGCCAGCAGCCGCGGUAAUACGGAGGGUGCGAGCGUUAAUCGGAAUUACUGGGCGUAAAGCGCGCGUAGGCGGUCUGAUAAGCCGGUUGUGAAAGCCCCGGGCUCAACCUGGGAACGGCAUCCGGAACUGUCAGGCUAGAGUGCAGGAGAGGAAGGUAGAAUUCCCGGUGUAGCGGUGAAAUGCGUAGAGAUCGGGAGGAAUACCAGUGGCGAAGGCGGCCUUCUGGACUGACACUGACGCUGAGGUGCGAAAGCGUGGGUAGCAAACAGGAUUGGAUACCCCGGUAGUC